AGUUCCCUGGAACGGGACGCCUUAGAGGGUGAGAGCCCCGUACGGUUGGACACCAAGCCUCUGUAAGGCCCCUUCGACGAGUCGAGUAGUUUGGGAAUGCUGCUCUAAAUGGGAGGUAAAUUUCUUCUAAAGCUAAAUACUGGCCAGAGACCGAUAGCGCACAAGUAGAGUGAUCGAAAGAUGAAAAGCACUUUGAAAAGAGGGUUAAAUAGCACGUGAAAUUGUUGAAAGGGAAGCGUUUGCGACCAGACCUCUCCCCGGCGGGUCACCUGGUGUUCUUCACCGGGGCACUUCGCCGGGGCAGAGGCCAGCAUCGGUUUCCGCAGGGGGAUAAAAGCUCAGGGAACGUAGCUCCUUCGGGAGUGUUAUAGCCCUCCGCACAAUACCCCUGCGGGGACCGAGGACCGCGCCCCCGGGCAAGGAUGCUGGCGUAAUGGUCGCCAACGACCCGU
rnacentral:rRNA from 1 species